rnacentral:rRNA from 1 species
UACGGAGGGGGCUAGCGUUGUUCGGAAUUACUGGGCGUAAAGCGCACGUAGGCGGAUUUGUAAGUCAGGGGUGAAAUCCCGGAGCUCAACUCCGGAACUGCCUUUGAUACUGGAAAGCUUGAGUUCGGGAGAGGUGAGUGGAACUGCGAGUGUAGAGGUGAAAUUCGUAGAUAUUCGCAAGAACACCAGUGGCGAAGGCGGCUCACUGGCCCGAUACUGACGCUGAGGUGCGAAAGCGUGGGGAGCAAACAGG